rnacentral:rRNA from 1 species
UACGUAGGGAGCAAGCGUUGUCCGGAAUCAUUGGGCGUAAAGCGCGCGUAGGCGGCCCGGUAAGUCCGUUGUAAAAGUCGAAGGCUCAACCUUCGAAAGCCGAUGGAUACUGCCGGGCUAGAGUUCGGAAGAGGCGAGUGGAAUUCCAGGUGUAGCGGUGAAAUGCGUAGAUAUCUGGAGGAACACCGGUGGCGAAGGCGGCAUCCUGGACCGAUACUGACGCUGAGGAGCGAAAGCCAGGGGAGCAAACGGG